rnacentral:rRNA from 1 species
GACAAACGCUGGCGGCGUGCUUAACACAUGCAAGUCGAACGGUAUACCUACGGGUAUAUAGUGGCGGACGGGUGAGUAACACGUAGUCAACCUACCCUAAAGUGGGGGAAUAACCCCUCGAAGAGGAGCUAUACCGCAUACGCUCUCCCGUCGAUAGCGAGAGAGGAAACGAUAGCUGUGACACGCUAUGGGCGUUUAGGAUGGGACUGCGGCGGAUUAGCUAGAUGGUGGGGUAACGGCCACCAUGGCGACGAUCCGUAGCUGGUCUGAGAGGACGACCAGCCACACUGGGACUGAGGACACGGCCCAGACUCCUACGGGAGGGCAGCAGUGAGGAAUAUUCCACAAUGGGCGCAAGCCUGAUGGAGCGACGCCGCGUGCGGGAUGACGGCU